rnacentral:misc_RNA from 1 species
GAGGCCCUGCUCUACACACCCGCGAUCUGACCCAAAACGUUGCCUCGGCGGCAGGCUGCCCGGGGGUCUUCAGGGACCUCUCGGCGCCCGCCGCCGCUGGCCUGUAAACUUUACAGCAUAUAGACCCUCUGAGGAUACCUAAUUUA